rnacentral:rRNA from 1 species
UACGGAGGGUGCGAGCGUUGUCCGGAAUCACUGGGCGUAAAGGGCGCGUAGGUGGCGCGACAAGUCAACGGUGAAAGCCCGGGGCUCAACCCCGGGUCGGCCGUCGAUACUGUUGGGCUUGAGCACUGUAGAGGCAGAUGGAAUUCCGGGUGUAGCGGUGGAAUGCGUAGAGAUCCGGAAGAACACCGGUGGCGAAGGCAGUCUGCUGGGCAGUAGCUGACACUGAUGCGCGACAGCGUGGGGAGCAAACAGG